UCUUAAGUUACAAUUGUCACAUACACAUACUAUAUUGCAAUCUAUUUAUUAGGCGGGCACAAUAGUGAUCUUCUUUUUGACGUAUGUUCCUUGGUCAUGAUCUUGACGUAACCAUGGUGUGUCCUCUGCAUUUAUCAGUAUGCUCGGAUCUUUGGUCACAUUGAAAGGCGUGAUUCGGUCAUCCCUUUCAUAAUCUUCUAAAAUAUCUGACUUGUCCUCAAUUCCCACAAUGUUUCUUUUCCCUGAGAGAACUAUAUGGCGUUUUGGCUCGUUUGUUGAUUUGUUGUCAUUUUUCCCUCUCUUCUGUUUUGUAGACAUGUCUUUCACAUAGAACACCUGAUUCACAUCAGCAGCAAGGACGAAUGGUUCAUCUUUGUAACCAACAUUGUUGAGGUCCACUGUUGUCAUUCCAUAGUCUUUGUCAACUGUCACCCCGCCUUCGGUAACCUUCACCCAUUGGCA
rnacentral:lncRNA from 1 species